rnacentral:lncRNA from 12 species
GCUUAAAGAGAGCCGGGGAGGGAGAAUCGCUCUCGAGGAGUUCAGCAAAGUCGUGACCACAUCAGAGGAGCUGCCGGGUCGAUGCCCGCCCCGCCUUUACACUGGAACCGGCUUCUAGGAGCUUCAGAAACUCGAGGGCAAGGGCGCGGGGGCCCGGGACGCAGCACGCACUCCCGGCCUUCGCCGCACAGCGCGCCCAGACCCGCCGGGACCCGCGGGCUCGGCGUUCGGUCCGGACCGCGCUCCGUUCCGCAGCCCGUUGCCGCCGGGCAGCGCCGCCCCGAGAGGGCCCCGGGCGGCCGCGGCGCGGGCGGACCCCGGCAUCGCCCGCCUCGGACCGACGUCAGGCCCCGGGCGCCAGGCCCCGCCCCGCGCCUGCUCCCGGAGCUCCCCGGCGGCGGCGGCGGCGGCGGGGGCGGCGGGGGCGCCGGGGGGCGUCCUGCCCGCCCGGGAGCAGACGCGGGCCCCGCCGUGUGCGCCGCGCUCCCCCCCCGCCCCCGCCGGCCGCCGACUCCAGGCCCCCGCCCCGCGCUGACCACCCGCCGGGCUCGGCCGGCCGCGCCCUGGGCCCCGCGCUCAGGUGAACCUCCGAGAAGGCAGAUGCAGCCGAUGUCUGUGAUCCAUGUUGGGACAAUUUCUUUUGUACAGAAGAUGUGAUCCACAGGAGAGAUUCUUUGGUGGGAAGAAACUGAGUGAGUUCUUAAAAGCCUUGCCCAAGGCCACAGAGGAGGGGGAUGUCUUGGUUCUGGCCUAAAACCUGGGCAGUCCUGAUGUCCAAUUCAGCUGCUUCACACACUCUUUCAGGGGUGCCUCUGCUCUACUCUGCAGCGGCCUUGGUUGUUGAUCGAAUGAAUCUUUGGCAUUGACCUUUGAUGGUAGAAAGUUGAAGAGAGUAUGUUUUGUGAUUCAAUGUGGACUUCAUGGGUCCCCAGAAAAACUGAGUUCAUGGAACCUUACUUUCUUUUAGAGAUCAUUUUUAGAAGGAACAGAAGAGCACCCUGUCCCCUGAGGGAAUAAGUAAAAACAUGAUAUACCAGGAAAUGCUUCUGCUCCAACAUGUGAGUGAGCAGUAACUGAGAGGCUGUGUGGCUUCCAGUGAGGACACUUAGUGUUAAAUGUUAAUUGUGAGUGCACUCGCCCUACCUAGUAGAAGGUGAUGAAUUGUAAACUUCUAGAGGGCAGAGAUGAUGGUCUAAUUCCUUUGUACCUGCAAACUGAGGUUGACAGGUUAGACAGGUUGUUCCAAAUGCUCUUUGAAAAGGGACUGUCAGAGGUCUUAGAUUGUUAGCAUUCCUCAAUUUACAUAACACAUCCAUCCCCUCAAGUUUCUGUAAAUGGGUCAUAUUUUUAAAGCACCAGGAAAUUUUGCCUUUUAAAGGGUCCUUGUUUUGAAUCUAUUUGCAAGUGAACUAAACUAUUGUGAUAGAGACAAUUGCUUCUGAAUUAACCUCUUGUGCGAUUUGGCUUUCCAAGGAUGUGAAUUUUUAAAAGCAGAGCCUUUCUGCAGUGUGAACGUGUCACAAAAUGCAGCAAUGAUGCCAUUACAGAGUGGAAGAUAGCAGGGCCUCUAGAAGAACAUGACUUUUAGGAGACAGAUGUCUCCAGUUGCAUUAUAAAUUUUGUCAAUUAAAACUGAGUGAUUGUGGGCAAGUUUCCUUUGGUAAGUCUUCCAAAGAAUCAAAUGGUUUUAUACCGAGAAUUUUAUCUUAGUCAAGUAAUACCAAAAACUUCAAGGCAGUUCCAAGGCAGUUUACACAGAGCUUUCUUAUUUUUCUUAACAUUUGUAUGAUGUUCCAUGGCAUAGCUUUACCACAACUUGCUUGCUCAUUCAUUCAUUCAUUCAUUCAUCUAUUCUUCUAGUAUUGGAUGUAUUACCUGUUUCUCAUUAUUUUUUAAAACAAAUGAUUUUGCAAAGAACAUCUCUAUAAUCUGUGUUUAUGUAUUCCUAUUGCGCAUGUAAGGUCUAAAAGUGGGAUGACUGGGUAUGUGCAUUUUUAAUUUCAUAAAGUCUGAAAUUGUACUCCAAAAAUUCUGUAGCACUUUGUACUUCCACGAACACUUGGCCAGAGUACUUAUAUGCUGACACCAUCAUUUAUGCCAGGCGUUGCCAGAUGUUCUCAUUUACUUAAUCUGUUGCAUGAAAAAAAUGUAUUUCAAUAGUGUUUUUAUCUGUGUUCAUUUAAUUGUUAGUAGGCUUAAUAAGCAGAUGUUACAUGUAUACUAGACCAACAAUUUUGUUUCUGGCUGAUUGGAAAAGAAUAAAAAUCAUACAUGCAACUUAAUCCA